UACGAAGGGGGCUAGCGUUGCUCGGAAUCACUGGGCGUAAAGCGUGCGUAGGUGGUUCGUUAAGUCUGAUGUGAAAGCCCCGGGCUCAACCUGGGAAUGGCAGUGGAUACUGGCGAGCUAGAGUGUGAUAGAGGAUGGUGGAAUUCCCGGUGUAGCGGUGAAAUGCGUAGAGAUCGGGAGGAACAUCAGUGGCGAAGGCGGCCAUCUGGAUCAACACUGACGCUGAGGCACGAAAGCGUGGGGAGCAAACAGG
rnacentral:rRNA from 1 species